AGCGACCGGCUGGGGAUCGGUACAGGGAGAAAGGGGCCCGGCCGUACCUGCAGAGAGGGGAGUGUGCAGCUAGGGGGCGGUAAGGGAGAAGGGGGCCCGGCCGUACCUGCAGGGAGGGGAGUGUGCAGCUAGGGGGCGGUAAGGGAGAAGGGGGCCCGGCCGUACCUGCAGGGAGGGGAGUGUGCAGCUAGGGGGCGGUAAGGGAGAAGGGGGGCCCGGCCGUACCUGCAGGGAGGGGAGUGCGAGGCUGGGGGUCGGUGGAGGGAGAAGGGGGCCCGGCUGUACCUGCAGGGAGGGGAGCGCGAGGCUGGGGGUCGGUGGAGGGAGAAGGGGGCCCGGCCGUACCUGCAGGGAGGGGAGCGCGAGGCUGGGGGUCGGUGGAGGGAGAAGGGGGCCCGGCCGUACCUGCAGAGAGGGGAGCGCGAGGCUGGGGGUCGGUGGAGGGAGAAGGGGGCCCGGCCGUACCUGCAGGGAGGGGAGCGCGAGGCUGG